rnacentral:rRNA from 1 species
UACGGGAGGCAGCAGUGGGGAAUAUUGCACAAUGGGCGAAAGCCUGAUGCAGCUAUGCCGCGUGUAUGAAGAAGGCCUUAGGGUUGUAAAGUACUUUCAUCGGGGAGGAAAAACAAAACUAAUAAUUUUAUUUCUUGACGUUACCCGAAAAAGAAGCACCGGCUAACUCCGUGCCAGCAGCCGCGGUAAUACGGAGGGUGCUAGCGUUAAUCAGAAUUACUGGGCGUAAAGAGCACGUAGGUGGUUUUUUUAAGUCAGAUGUGAAAUCCCUGGGCUUAACCUAGGAACUGCAUUUUGAAACUGAAAUACUAGAGUAUCGUAGAGGGAGGUAGAAUUCUAGGUGUAGCGGUGAAAUGCGUAGAUAUCUGGAGGAAUACCUGUGGCGAAAGCGGCCUCCUAAACGAAUACUGACACUGAGGUGCGAAAGCGUGGGGAGCGAAACAGGGAUUAGAUACCCGU